rnacentral:rRNA from 1 species
UCGGGAAUUUUGGGCAAUGGGCGAAAGCCUGACCCAGCAACGCCGCGUGAGGGAUGAAGUAUUUCGGUAUGUAAACCUCGAAAGAAUGGGAAGAAUAAAUGACGGUACCAUUUAUAAGCUCCGGCUAACUACGUGCCAGCGGCCGCGGUAAUACGUAGGGAGCAAGCGUUGUUCGGAUUUACUGGGCGUAAAGGGCGCGUAGGCGGCGCGGUAAGUCACUUGUGAAAUCUCUGAGCUUAACUCAGAACGGCCAAGUGAUACUGCUGUGCUAGAGUGCGGAAGAGNCAACCGGAAUUCUUGGUGUAGCGGUGAAAUGCGUAGAUAUCAAGAGGAACACCUGAGGCGAAGGCGGGUUGCUGGGCCGACACUGACGCUGAUGCGCGAAAGCCAGGGGAGCAAACG